rnacentral:rRNA from 1 species
GAGUGGCGAACGGGUGAGUAACACGUGGGAAACCUACCUCUUAGCAGGGGAUAACAUUUGGAAACAGAUGCUAAUACCGUAUAACAAUGACAACCGCAUGGUUGUUAUUUGAAAGAUGGUUCUGCUAUCACUAAGAGAUGGUCCCGCGGUGCAUUAGCUAGUUGGUAAGGUAAUGGCUUACCAAGGCGAUGAUGCAUAGCCGAGUUGAGAGACUGAUCGGCCACAAUGGGACUGAGACACGGCCCAUACUCCUACGGGAGGCAGCAGUAGGGAAUCUUCCACAAUGGGCGAAAGCCUGAUGGAGCAACGCCGCGUGUGUGAUGAAGGGUUUCGGCUCGUAAAACACUGUUGUAAGAGAAGAAUGACAUUGAGAGUAACUGUUCAAUGUGUGACGGUAUCUUACCAGAAAGGAACGGCUAAAUACGUGCCAGCAGCCGCGGUAAUACGUAUGUUCCAAGCGUUAUCCGGAUUUAUUGGGCGUAAAGCGAGCGCAGACGGUUAUUUAAGUCUGAAGUGAAAGCCCUCAGCUCAACUGAGGAAUUGCUUUGGAAACUGGAUGACUUGAGUGCAGUAGAGGAAAGUGGAACUCCAUGUGUAGCGGUGAAAUGCGUAGAUAUAUGGAAGAACACCAGUGGCGAAGGCGGCUUUCUGGACUGUAACUGACGUUGAGGCUCGAAAGUGUGGGUAGCAAACAGGAUUAGAUACCCUGGUAGUCCACACCGUAAACGAUGAGUGCUAGGUGUUUGAGGGUUUCCGCCCUUAAGUGCCGCAGCUAACGCAUUAAGCACUCCGCCUGGGGAGUACGACCGCAAGGUUGAAACUCAAAGGAAUUGACGGGGACCCGCACAAGCGGUGGAGCAUGUGGUUUAAUUCGAAGCAACGCGAAGAACCUUACCAGGUCUUGACAUCCCUUGACAACUCCAGAGAUGGAGCGUUCCCUUCGGGGACAAGGUGACAGGUGGUGCAUGGUUGUCGUCAGCUCGUGUCGUGAGAUGUUGGGUUAAGUCCCGCAACGAGCGCAACCCUUAUUACUAGUUGCCAGCAUUCAGUUGGGCACUCUAGUGAGACUGCCGGUGACAAACCGGAGGAAGGUGGGGAUGACGUCAAAUCAUCAUGCCCCUUAUGACCUGGGCUACACACGUGCUACAAUGGCGUAUACAACGAGUUGCCAACCCGCGAGGGUGAGCUAAUCUCUUAAAGUACGUCUCAGUUCGGAUUGUAGGCUGCAACUCGCCUACAUGAAGUCGGAAUCGCUAGUAAUCGCGGAUCAGCACGCCGCGGUGAAUACGUUCCCGGGUCUUGUACACACCGCCCGUCACACCAUGAGAGUUUGUAACACCCAAAGCCGGUG